rnacentral:lncRNA from 1 species
ACCAGCAAAUACAAACUUUCCAACCUAUUUUAAGCUUCUAUACAGGAUUUGUAGAUGAUAUAUUGACAGUAUACAUGGACCAGACAGGAAUACAAGAUUUUGCCAAAUCAUUUACUUUAGAGGCAUGUGGUCUAAUAUUGAAAGGGAGCAACUGAUCAAUAUGAUAUACACUAUAUGGACAUGAGAAUAACAGUUCAAAAUGGAGACUUAACAACAUCUGUCUAUAAAAAAUCAACUUACAAACUGAUCCUAAUACCUAAAUGGUCUCAAGAUCUCAUAGCAUACAAAAAAACUGUAUUUAGAUAUUUCUUUAGAAGUGCUAUAUUGUACAUUGAGGAGGAGGAGAUAAAUUAUAGAAGUGGGAAAGCAACAUGGGAACAGUAAAUUGUUUAUUCUAAGUAUAUACCAUUGAAUAAGAAAGAGCCUCACAUCAAAAUUAAAUAAUGACCUACAACCAACAAGACAGCCAACUAGAUCUAACCAACAACAGGGCUACCUAGCUGUACCACACAAUCUGA